rfam:Desulfovibrio sp. An276 An276_contig_49, whole genome shotgun sequence.
CUUGUCGUGAGGCAAGUUCUGAAGGAAGUCUAUGGCAAACCACUGACCUGACGAACAGAAACCGUAUACGAGGCUGGCGUGUCGGAUGAGAGGGCCAGGAGACUCAAAGUCCAAUAGCUGCACGGAAGGCACGAAGGUAGAUGCGGUGGGUAUAAGUGGGAAAGUACUGUGU